CUCUCCUGCCAUGGGAGAAGAUUCCUUUCCUAGGUCCCGAGUUCUCCUAUACGUGGGUGCAAUUUUGGUCCAGGUCCACGUCCCUGAGGGUGCUCUGAGCUGGGGCCUGGGCUUGGCAGCUCCUGGGGUGCCCCCACAGCCCCACCUUUAGUGUAAAGCGACCUUCUCUGCCUGGCAGCACACACCCUCCUCCUCGGGCAGCACACAUCUUCCUGGUUCCUGGAGAUUCCUGGGACUGGCCGAUCUCCACCCGCCCCGAGGGGAUAUAAGCCCCCAGAAGACAUGGUCCCUGCAUCCCAGUCCCACCCAGAGCAGGAACAAAGGUGUCCUGCGAGCCAGGAAUCUGUCCUCAGGUCUCCAAGGAGAUCGUGGCUUAUUCAGACUGCUCCCCCGACACCCAAGCCCCAGGCUGGGAUGAAGGACUUGGAGCUCCCCAUCCCUGGAAUUCCCACAGCCCCCUGGAGAAAGAGCUGUUUCAAUCCUACUUUAUAGAUGCAGUGGGUUGAGCACAGAGAAGUCAAACAAGUGGCCCAAGGCCACAGAGCAGUACAGGAGGACCCCAGGUUUGCACGAGAGUCUGAGCUCAGCCAGGUGCCAAGACCCAGAGGGGCUGGGGAUACAGAGAUCCUCCCAAAAGGCCAGAUCUUAGGGGCACCGCAGGAGAACCUUGCUCCCAAUGUCCCUGGGGAGGCACAGAGGAGGGGCAUGGAGGAGGUGACCCCCGAGAUGGCAUCAGGGUCAUUUCUGAUGCUGGGGCCCCACGUACGGCAGAUUCUCAGCCGCAACUUUUGGAAAAACCUAAUUAAACCCAGAAAACUUCCCCACAGAUGCAUGAACCACCCUUUCGCACAGCCAGGCUGGAACCCCAGUGUAUCCACAUUCUCCAGAUGAACUGGGAUGUGUCCUCAAGCUGGAGGCUGUUUGGGAGCGGUUGUCACCUGAAGUUCAUCCCAAAUGCACCUGCUGACGGGGAGCCCACCUGGGUUAGGUCAUUGCCUCACCAGAGAAAAAAAUAAACCCUCCACCUUCAUGCCAGGACCUGCACCCCACAUGUGGAGCCCGGAGCCCACUGACAGCUACCUUGACGUUGAACCAGGAAAAUGAAAAGGUGCAGAGUGUCUCCACCCCCUUCUGGAGGACUCUCCCAGGCUCAGAAGCCCCCUCUCACUCAUUGCCGAAGCCCAUCGCCCCCAUCUGCCUCCACGCUGCAGACAUCCUCAGACCCCAGGGCCCACAAAUUUCUCCAGCCUCCAGACCUCAAUUUCAGAGGACCCUGGCCGCAUCUCCUCCUUGGGAUUCGGCCCCUGGACCUGCAGGGCAGGACCAGGAAGCUCUGGAAGCUGCUGUCUGCCUGGUCCCCAAGUGCCCCUGGUAGCUAGUGUUUGACGGACAGACACAGGAUACACAUGGGGAAGGCCAAAGGUCACAUCCGAAAC